GUGUCAGCCGCCGCGGUAAUACGGAGGAUCCAAGCGUUGUCCGGAUUUAUUGGGUUUAAAGGGUGCGUAGGCGGAUCUUUAAGUCAGUGGUGAAAGCCUGCAGCUUAACUGUAGAACAGCCAUUGAAACUGAAGAUCUUGAAUUAGGUUAAAGUAGGCGGAAUGUAUCAUGUAGCGGUGAAAUGCUUAGAUAUGAUACAGAACACCGAUAGCGAAGGCAGCUUGCUGAACCUACAUUGACGCUGAGGCACGAAAGCGUGGGGAGCAAACAGGAUUAGAUACCCCAGUAGUCC
rnacentral:rRNA from 1 species